rnacentral:rRNA from 1 species
GACGAACGCUGGCGGCGUGCCUAACACAUGCAAGUGGAGCGACGAACCAGGGCUUGCCCUGGGGCAGAGCCGCGAACGGGUGAGUAACACGUGGGUAACCUACCCCGAUGAUUGGGACAACCCGAGGAAACUCGGGCUAAUACCGAAUGUGCCUAUCCCACAUCAGUGGUGAUAUGUAAAGGAAGCUUCGGCCUCCGCAUCGGGAGGGGCUCGCGGCCCAUUAGCUAGUUGGUGGGGUAAUGGCCCACCAAGGCUGCGAUGGGUAGCUGGUCUGAGAGGACGAUCAGCCACACUGGGACUGAGACACGGCCCAGACUCCUACGGGAGGCAGCAGUGGGGAAUCUUGCGCAAUGCGCGAAAGCGUGACGCAGCAACGCCGCGUGGGGGAAGAAGGCCUUCGGGUUGUAAACCCCUUUCAGGAGGGACGAAGGUUCGGCGGUGAAUAGCCGACCGGACUGACGGUACCUCCACAAGAAGCCCCGGCUAACUACGUGCCAGCCGCCGCAGUA